CCAAACACAAAAAAAUUUUAAC
rnacentral:miRNA from 1 species